rnacentral:piRNA from 1 species
UGAAAGGACCUGGAUUGUGCUUUGCAUACCC